GGCCUACCAUGGUGGUAACGGGUAACGGGGUGUUAGGGCACGACACUGGAGAGGGAGCCUGAGAAACGGCUACCACAUCCAAGGAUGGCAGCAGGCGCGCAAAUUACCCAAUCCCGACACGGGGAGGUAGUGACAAUAAAUAACAAUACGGGGUUCUUUCGGAUCUCGUAAUUGGAAUGAGUACAAUUUAAAUCUCUUAACGAGGAACAAUUGGAGGGCAAGUCUGGUGCCAGCAGCCGCGGUAAUUCCAGCUCCAAUAGCGUAUAUUAAAGUUGUUGCAGUUAAAAAGCUCGUAGUUGAAUUUCGGGAUCAGUAGGUUGGUCGUGCCACUGGUAUGCACUGGCCUUACUGAUUCCUCCUUCUUGUAGAACCGUAAUGCCAUUAAGUUGGUGUUGCGGGGAAACAGGACUGUUACUUUGAAAAAAUUAGAGUGUUUAAAGCAGGCUAACGCUUGAAUACAUUAGCAUGGAAUAAUGAAAUAGGACGUUCGAUCCUAUUUUGUUGGUUUCUAGGAUUGACGUAAUGAUUAAUAGGGAUAGUUGGGGGCAUUAGUAUUCAAUUGUCAGAGGUGAAAUUCUUGGAUUUAUUGAAGACUAACUACUGCGAAAGCAUUUGCCAAGGAUGUUUUCAUUAAUCAAGAACGAAAGUUAGGGGAUCGAAGACGAUCAGAUACCGUCGUAGUCUUAACCAUAAACUAUGCCGACUAGGGAUCGGAUGAUGUUAAUUUUUUAAUGACUCAUUCGGCGCCUUACGGGAAACCAAAGUGUUUGGGUUC
rnacentral:rRNA from 1 species